AAACGACUCUCGGCAACGGAUAUCUCGGCUCACGCAUCG
rnacentral:rRNA from 1 species